rnacentral:tRNA from 1 species
AUUUAUAUAGUUUAAAAAAAAACAUUACACUUUCAUUGUAAAAUUAGAUCCCAUCUUAUAAAUA